rnacentral:rRNA from 1 species
UACAGAGGUCUCAAGCGUUGUUCGGAUUCAUUGGGCGUAAAGGGUGCGUAGGUGGCGCUGUAAGUCGGGUGUGAAAUUUCGGAGCUUAACUCCGAACUGCAUUCGAUACUGCGGUGCUUGAGGACUUGGAGAGGAGACUGGAAUUCAUGGUGUAGCAGUGAAAUGCGUAGAGAUCAUGAGGAAGACCAGUGGCGAAGGCGGGUCUCUGGACAGUUCCUGACACUGAGCACGAAGGCCAGGGGAGCAAACGGG